CCCUUAGAUGUUCUGGGCCGCACGCGCGCUACACUGACGAAUGCAACGAGCUUAUACCCUUGGCCGAAAGGUCUGGGUAAUCUCCAAAUUUCGUCGUGAUGGGGAUAGAUUAUUGCAAUUAUUAAUCUUCAACGAGGAAUGCCUAGUAAGCGCAAGUCAUCAGCUUGCGUUGAUUACGUCCCUGCCCUUUGUACACACCGCCCGUCGCUCCUACCGAUUGAAUGGUCCGGUGAAGCGUUCGGACCGUGGCCUUUGGACGGUUCGCCGUCUGUUGGCUGCGGGAAGUUCGUUAAACCUUAUCAUUUAGAGGAAGGAGAAGUCGUANCA
rnacentral:rRNA from 1 species